UACGGGGGGGGGCAAGCGUUGUUCGGAAUUACUGGGCGUAAAGGGCUCGUAGGUGGCCAACUAAGUCAGACGUGAAAUCCCUCGGCUUAACCGGGGAACUGCGUCUGAUACUGGAUGGCUUGAGUUCGGGAGAGGGAUGCGGAAUUCCAGGUGUAGCGGUGAAAUGCGUAGAUAUCUGGAGGAACACCGGUGGCGAAGGCGGCAUCCUGGACCGACACUGACACUGAGGAGCGAAAGCGUGGGGAGCAAACAGG
rnacentral:rRNA from 1 species